UCAGACCUCUAAUCGGAAAAGACUACCCGCUGAGUUUAAGCAUAUCAUUCGUAACAAGGUUUCCGUAGGUGAACCUGCGC
rnacentral:rRNA from 1 species